CAGGAGAAUUGCUUGAACCUGAGAGGUGGAGAUUGCAGAGAGCUGAGAUAACAGUACUGCACUCCAACUUGGGCAACAAAGCAAGACUCCAUCUUAGAAAAAAAAUUAAAAACAUAUAAAGAACCCUUCAUCCAACAUUUGAAGUGGGACAGCAUUUUAAGGGCAUGUAAAAUACUUAAGAUAAUUGACUGCAAUGAAAAUAUUUAAGAAAAUUGCACUAUAAACUCAGUAACAAAAACUAGAAGAAAACUUGUAUGUUUAGAAAUGAUGAAGCAUGCAUGCAAAUAAAUUGCAGGGCAAAGCAGACAAUAUGGGAAGUGUAAAAUAUUUAGAAAUAAAUAAUAAUGAAAAUAUUCUAUGUUAAAACUUAUGGGAUAUAGCUGAAUAGUACUUAGAAAUGUAUUGAAGAAAGGCUGGAAGUUAAUGAGAUGAAAGCAUCUGUGCUGUACUGUUCCCUGCUCAAGUUGGUUAAACUAGGAACUGUGUUUCCCAGAUUCUCUUUCCUUGUAUAAGAAGGCCAAAAGAUGAAUUUGUAGGAGACUGGUGGGUAGAAUAAAUGAAGCAGUUGCCUUUGUUUUCCAGAGGACUUCAGGGUGAAAUGAGAUGAUGAACAGAAAUAGAGGCAGAUGCAGGAAUAAAAGUGAUCUCUCUAAAGCACAGUGUGUGGGAAACAGGCUCUCCUUCAGGACAGCUAUUUUCAUCAAAUCAGCAAAUAAUUGUUGUGUACCUACUCUGUGCCAGAUGCUCUUCCAAGCCCAAGAGAUAACAUUGGUGAAUAAAACAGAGAGCCUUGUCUUCGUGAAGCUUACAUUGUAUGUGGAAAAUGAUAUUAAAACAUUAUUAAUUAACAAAUCCAUAAUAAACAAAGAUUUCUUGCUGUUACUGUUAGAGUAUCCAUUUGGAGAAAGCUGGAAAGGUAUAUAUGUGUUUAACAGUCCAAGAUGGAAAUUUGGGGAGGGGUGGAUGUAGAGGAGAGGAAAUCAUGCGUACCAAAGUGUGGGCUGGGAGGCCUUCAUAGGAUGGGCUUAGGGAAGGCUGUUGAGGGGUGCUCUGGGCCAGGGCAUGUGGCUAACCCUGCAGCGGGGAAUGAGUGCUGGGCCAGGGAGUUUAUAGACAGUGAUAAACCAUGAAGACCCAUCAGGGAUUUUUAACCUGGAAUAUGAUAUGAUCAGAGUGGAACUUUAGGAAUUUCAAUACGUUAGUGAUGCAAAAAGGAGUUAGAGGGGAAACUAGAUUAGAAGUUCUUGGAGAGAUCAGAUCAUUACAAAAUUUAGUUUAAAAAAAAAAAAAAAAUCCUGAAAGGAAUGAAUUGGAGCCAUCCUGUCCUUUAGUAAGUCUAUAUUGGGAACUUUUAAAAUUUGAUUUUUCAAAGUCUUAUUAACAUGCGGUACACGAAUUCUACAUGUACUUGACUGAUUUUUAACAAUUGCAUAUUUCAUCUAUAGCUCUGGUAAACACCAUGCAGAUCAAGAUACAGCACAUUGCCAUUGCCAGCACCUAUACUGGGGACUUUUGCCUCAAAGUGCAAUGUGAGCAGCAUUCACUAUAGGUUGUUUUAGGGAGGGAUGGUGAAGUCUAUGAGGUAAAUCCUACCUAGCGCCAGCCGUCUUUUCAGCUCUCCGGUCCAUCUCCCUCCCCUUCCUUCCUGAGCAGCCAGUUGCUACAUUAACCAGACAGCAGGAAGAAAGGCAGACUGUGUCUACCAGCGUCUGUACCUCUUCCUGCGUUAACUUUUUAAGUGGGAUACACCAGGCACAUUUACCCUAAUGGCCUCGAGCAUGAGAGAAUCACAUAUUAUACCAGGCCCUGGGUUUCCUAGAGGGAAAUGGCAGAAAUAUUUACAAGUAGCUUUAGUGUGGCCAGAACAUACCCAAACAGACGGCAAAUAGAGAUCCUGUCAGCGAGUGUACAAGGGGAGGCUUCACUGGGGCACGGCUGGGGAGCAAGGGCCCUAGGGGCAGUGUUUUUUGCCAUUCUCCCUCUCAAAAGUAAUUGUAAAGUGUUCUCUUCGUGUAUAUAGGAAGGGACUCGUUUUCUUUCCCGUGCUGGUGACUGCCUUGACAUACACUAGUUGAAUAUACGUGCAUCAGUUGUUAUAAAGGACAACUGGGAUUGGUUAAAUUUAAAAGGGUAUAUUCUUUUAAGUUAUAUCUCUUCAACUUCUAUAACAACUUACUAUGGGGUCAGUUUUAUGCUAGAGCAAAUAGGAGAAGUAUCCUAUUAAUAGAUAAAUGGUAUUGAUUGAGCAAGAGUGAUGACUGACUGAAAUUAGUGCUUUGUAUAUUUAAGUAGAUGUAGGAUUUUAUGCUCUGUGGGAAACAGAAUUUGAAGGUUAUGUUCUACUUCACUAAUUGGUUCAAGGCACAUUUACUUUCCAGAAUGAAGAUGGGAGGUGUAUACUUGGGGAGAUAUGCAAAGUGUGAAAUAGACAAGGAUUCCUACCUUAAUUGAAGACAUUGAAUUUUAAUCUGGGAAGGAGCAUAAAGACUAAUGGCUUCCCUUUUUUCUUUUUCUUUUUGCUUUAUUCAACAGUUUUUUAAAAAGAUUGAUGCAGAGCUGCUUGGCACAUGGGGUGGGAAAGGUGAGGACAGUUCCAGUAAGGCCCUCUAGCAACUUCUCAGUAUGAGUGGAUUCAGCCCAUAUCUUCUUAACCCCCUCCAGUUCUUUCCCUACAUUACCAAUCCUUUGCUCAAAAGCCAAGAGCUGGUGUUAUGAAAUUUAAGAAAAGCGAUUUCAUUUCCAACUCUUAUUAGUUGAAAUCUCUCUUUGGGAUCACAUUUAUUUUGGUUCUUUGGGAUACUUUUUGCCAUUAAUAGGAUGUAUGAAAAUACUAUUUUAUCUAUUGUUUUCUUAUGCUAUAUAGUAGAAUCAAUUUCUUCAAUUAUUUCCUGAGUACACUCCUGCAAAAGAUUUAUUCCUCCUAUCUGUGUAAUUGUCAUAGAGUUGGCAAGGAUGCAGAAAAAUUGGAAUGCUUGUGCAUUGUUUAUGGGAGUAAAAAACAGUACAGCCAUUAUGGAAAACAGUUCCCCUAAACGGAAACAAAACAUUAUAGAAAACAUGUUCCUUAAAAAACUGAAACUAGAAUUACCAUGUGAUUCAGCAAACCCACUUCUGGAUGUAUAUCCAAAAUAAUUCAAAGCAGAGUCUCAAGAGAGUUAUUUGCACACCCAUUCUUUACAGCAUUAUUUACAUAGCCAAGGAGUACAAGUGACCCAAGUAUCCAUCAACAGAUGAGUCAAUUAAGAAAGUGUGGUGUGUAAUUUCAGUGGAAUAUCAUGCAGAUGUAAAGAAGGAAAUCCUAUCACAUUACAGUAUUGCCAACCCUCGAGGACAAUAUGCUAAGCAAAAUAAGUCAGUCUCAAAAGGCCAUACAUGAGUCAAAGCAUAUGACAUAUCUAAAGUCAAAAUCAUAGCAACAAAGUAGAAAAGCAGUUGUCAAAGGCUAGGGGAGGGGAAAUUAGUAUUUAAUGGGUAUAGAGUUUCCAUUUUACAAGAUGGAAAAUUCUAGAGAUCUGUUGUACAACAAUAUGAACAUACAUAACACUGCUGAAUUAUAGACGUAAAAGUAGUGAAGAUGGUAAAUUUAAUAUUGUAUUUUUUACCACAAUUU